rnacentral:rRNA from 1 species
AAUCAACGCUGGCGGCGUGCCUAACACAUGCAAGUCGAACGCGAAAGUCCCGAAAGGGAUAAGUAGAGUGGCAAACGGGUGAGUAACGCGUGGGUGACCUGCCUCCGAGUGGGGAUAACGUUUCGAAGGAACGCUAAUACCGCAUAAUAUGCCGCCUUUUAAGAGGUGGACAUCAAAGCCUGGGACCGUAAGGCCAGGCGCUUGAAGAGGGGCCCGCGUCUGAUUAGCUAGUUGGUGGGGAAUGGCUCACCAAGGCAACGAUCAGUAUCCGGCCUGAGAGGGCGGACGGACACACUGGGACUGAGACACGGGCCCAGACUCCUACGGGAGGCAGCAGUGGGGAAUUGUUCGCAAUGGGCGCAAGCCUGACGACGCAACGCCGCGUGGAGAUGAAGAUUUUCGGAUCGUAAACUCUUUCGAUCGAGACGAAUGGCCUUUGGGUAAAUAGCCCGAAGG